rnacentral:rRNA from 1 species
UACGUAGGGGGCAAGCGUUGUCCGGAUUUAUUGGGCGUAAAGAGCGUGUAGGCGGCUAUGCAGGUCCGCUGUGAAAACUCGAGGCUCAACCUCGAGACGUCGGUGGAAACCGCAUGGCUAGAGUCCGGAAGAGGAGAGUGGAAUUCCCGGUGUAGCGGUGAAAUGCGCAGAUAUCAGGAGGAACACCGAUGGCGAAGGCAGGUCUCUGGGCAUUAACUGACGCUGAGGAGCGAAAAGCAUGGGGAGCGAACAGG